UGGCUCAGAUGGUAAAGCAUCUGCCUACAAUGCAGGAGACCCAGGUUCAAUCCCCGG
rnacentral:tRNA from 1 species